rnacentral:rRNA from 1 species
UACGAGGGGGGGCAAGCGUUGUUCGGAAUUAUUGGGCGUAAAGCGCGCGCAGGCGGUCCUUUAAGUCUGAUGUGAAAGCCCACGGCUCAACCGUGGAGGGUCAUUGGAAACUGGGGGACUUUGAGUACAGAAGAGAAGAGUGGAAUUCCACGUGUAGCGGUGAAAUGCGUAGAGAAUGUGGAGGAACACCAGUGGCGAAGGCGACGUCUUUGGUCUGUAACUGACGCUGGAGGCGCGAAAGCGUGGGGAGCAAACAGGAAUUAGAUACCC